AAGAGCGAUCGACAAGGGCCCACGUGUAGACGCUGGUACCGCGCGCGGCACGGCAGUACUCCUUGGUCAGCACCCAGUCGCCAGGCCCUUCCUUCCAACGCAAGAGAGCUAGGCGGCGUGUUCCGUGCCUUGCCUUCCCAAGCAAGCAAGCAAGCUUUCAUAAUGUAGUAUUGUAGUAGUUUCAUUCAAUUCACGAGUCACGACGUUCACGAGUCACGCCAGCAUCAAAGCCGUGCGUGAGUAGGCCGAUCUCUUGGAUGAUGGAGGAGGACCAGCAGAUAGUCGCUGGCGUGGACGCCGCGGCCCGAGGCGGCGGCGGCCUGGGCCGCGCGGGAGCCGUCUUUCUCACCGCGACCUGCGCCGCAGCCACCUACAGCGCGGCGGCGGCAGGGGACGUCCCGUCCGUGGCGUUCGUGGUCGCCAGCUACGGCGCGCUCCUGCUUCUGCUGCGCUCCCUGCGCGCCUACGAGCUGGCGCCGCCGGAGGCGGCUGCACGCAGGGAAGCGCUCAGGCGCAGGGUCUGGGCGCUCUGCACGCUACUCAGCGUGAUGUUCGCGUGGAAGGUUGCGAGCGUCGUCGCGACGCCGUGGCCGGUCGCUGUCGGCGUCUGGGCCGCGGCGGCCGUCACAUCUGCCGCUGGGUUCGUUCUGCUGUUCCGCCAGCAGCAGCGUCGCCAAUGAACGAGUGAUCGGUGGAUGUGUGUUCCGUCUGUAACUUGUAAGCUCCAAGAGCCUCAAAUAGUUACAGGCAUGGGAUGGGAUCGAUGCCUGGCCUGGUUGCUAGCUGCUGUUUUCCGUGUGCUGGUGCUGGUGCUGGCCUGGUGAUACGGAGGAAGAAAUGCUUUCAAUCUACUGUACCCGGCCGGUACGUUCAGAUGAAUUGUGAUGGCCUCUGCCACAAACCUAUGUGUACGUAUUGUAUAUAUGUGCAUGACACUAUUUUAGCCUCAUAUCACUAGUUGAUUGAUAUAUUUCUGCGAUCCAAUUAUGUGUUCGUUCUGCGAUCCAAUUAUUUCCUUGGAUUCAUGCAUGCUCCAGGAACCUUUUAAAUCCAUCAUAUCACUAGUUGAUUGAUAUAUUUCUAGUUCGAGCAUAUUCUUCAUUACUAUUGAAGUUAAGAGCUUUUUUUUAUUUUUGUA